CAACCCAUUAUAUGAUAAGUCUCUUGCCCGUCACUCCAUAUCACUAAAUUUUAUGUGCAUAUAGUUUGUUGGAGCUUAGAAUUGAAAUAGAGAAAUCCAUUUUUGCCGUAUUCCCUUUACUGUUUUUGCUUACUGUUGCAACAUUGACUUUGUCAAUGAGGGAAGCAGCGGAGCUAGGGUAUGGUUUCGCAGAUUUGUCCAGUGAAGUUCAACGAUUAUUUAAGGUUCGACCAAUAUGACUUUCUGCAGGUAUCCUACUUCAAGUUUAUCUUUCAAAGAAUGAAGAUGCAAGUAGUAUUUCAAGGAGUAAUCAUGACGAAGUUAGAGGCCAAAAUCUAAAUUAUUGAAGAUGAAAUAAAGGAAGAAGAGGUGGUCAAGGAGGAAGAGGCAGAGGCUGAUUUAAUAAGAGAAAUAUCCAAUGUUAUCAUUAUAACACGUUUGCCUAUUUUUAAAAAGAUUAUAUAUUAAAAUCAGGUAAUAACAAUAAAAAUAAUAAUUAUGCUCAGAAGAGUGAAAGGCUUCCUCAAGUAAUUUAUUUUUAUCCUAUGGAAAAUUUGAAAAUGAUGUGAAAGAUGUUUGGUAUUUAGACUCGAGAUGCUCAAACCACAUAUCUAGUAAUAAAGAGCUAUUUUCUAACAUGGAUGAAAGUUUUAAAUCCAAGAUAAUGCUUUGUAAUGACAACACUUUGGACAUUGUAGUGAAAGGAGCCAUGGAUGUUCCUAUGAAGGAACGUAUGAAAUGUGUUAAAGAAUAAUUUUAUACUCGACAAUUGAAGCACAA